AUACCUUCUCGGCUUUUGGCUAUGAUCAAGUGUAGUAUCUGUUCUUAUAAGUGUGACACUUAUAUGUAGCUACUGCUAACUUGAACUGUC
rnacentral:snRNA from 1 species